UAAAAAAAGGUAAGCUACUAAGAGCGAAUGGUGGAUGCCUUGACUGGUAAAGGCGAUGAAGGACGUACUAGACUGCGAUAAGCUACGGGGAGCUGUCAAGAAGCUUUGAUCCGUAGAUUUCCGAAUGGGGCAACCCAAUGUAUAGAGAUAUACAUUACCUAUAUAGGAGCGAACGAGGGGAAUUGAAACAUCUUAGUACCCUCAGGAAAAGAAAUCAAUAGAGAUUGCGUCAGUAGCGGCGAGCGAAAGC
rnacentral:rRNA from 1 species